AGCAUAUCAAUAAGCGGAGGAAAAGAAACCAACAGGGAUUGCCUCAGUAACGGCGAGUGAAGCGGCAAAAGCUCAAAUUUGAAAUCUGGCUCUUUCAGGGUCCGAGUUGUAAUUUGUAGAAGAUGCUUUGGGUGUGGUUCUGGUUUAAGUUCUUUGGAAUAUUACAUCAUAGAGGGUGAGAAUCCCGUAUGUGACCAGUCGCCGCGCCCGUGUAAAGCUCUUUCAACGAGUCGAGUUGUUUGGGAAUGCAGCUCAAAAUGGGAGGUAUAUUUCUUCUAAAGCUAAAUAUUGGCCAGAGACCGAUAGCGCACAAGUAGAGUGAUCGAAAGAUGAAAAGCACUUUGGAAAGAGAGUUAAACAGUACGUGAAAUUGUUGAAAGGGAAGCGCUUGCAACCAGACUUGCACGCAGUUGAUCAUCCGGUGUUCUCACCGGGGCACUCUGCUGCGUUCAGGCCAGCAUCGUUUUUGGUGGUUGGAUAAAGGCCUUGGGAAUGUAGCUCCUUUCGGGGAGUGUUAUAGCCCUCGGUGCAAUGCAGCCUACCGGGAACGAGGACCGCGCUUCGGCUAGGAUGCUGGCGUAAUGGUUGUAAGCGGCCCGU
rnacentral:rRNA from 1 species